rnacentral:rRNA from 1 species
UACGUAGGGUGCGAGCGUUAAUCGGAAUUACUGGGCGUAAAGCGUGCGCAGGCGGUUUUGUAAGUCUGUCGUGAAAUCCCCGGGCUCAACCUGGGAAUUGCGAUGGAGACUGCAAGGCUAGAAUCUGGCAGAGGGGGGUAGAAUUCCACGUGUAGCAGUGAAAUGCGUAGAGAUGUGGAGGAACACCGAUGGCGAAGGCAGCCCCCCUGGGUCAAAACUGACGCUCAUGCACGAAAGCGUGGGGAGCAAACAGG